GGCUUGAGGUGGCUUCCGGCCGCCAGGCGAGACUCCGCGGGAAAACUCCCUGCUAGAGAGACUAGGAGAUUUGGGGCUGCGGCCGUUUCCUCCGGAGCACCCACGGGACUGUGUGCUGGGGUCCCUCCACCGGCUGUGUCCUUUAUUCUUCUUUCUCACCCAACGAUUUACCUGAACGGUUAUAAAGUGCACGUUAUUUCCCUAAGCACUUUGAGUAUAUUGGCCCACUGCAUUCUGGACUUCAAAAUUUCUGAUGCGAAAUAUGCUGAUACUUUUGUUGAAGAAAUCUGGUCCUUCUUACUGAUGUGUUGCUCUUCUUCAUGGCUCGUGAAAACUAUUAGAGUCAUCCAAGGGUGGGAAGAGAGAUCAGCAACGUUAACUGGGUGUCAAGAAAACAUACCGAGAUUGAAGCCAUCCACUUCUGCAGGAACACCGAAAAGAAAGGACUGUGAAGACAACCAGAGUGGGAAGGAACCUCAGAAACCUUUGGACCAACAGAGGAAAAAGCCCAGAGGUGCAGGACAUAGAUCAAAACCAGUCGCAUGCGAGUCAUUCUAGGAUCCGGCCAAAGUUAAUUAACAGAGGGCCAUUCAGUCUCCACCGAGUCAAACAAUAAUUAGGUUAGUUAGGGUCUUUGAGCCCCAACACAGUCUAGACUCUGAGACACUGCAAUAUAACAAUAUUCUUCUGGUUUCUUCUCCAUUCCAAAUCUAUCUUCCUAAAAUACUAAAUUUUAAGAGUGAAAGUGAACUUGUGAACAUAAACAGGUAAAAUGUGGGUGUGUGUCCAGAAUGGUGACAGACAGGGAGAACUGCUGAAUAUAACUUAUCAGAACCUUACAAACUGGCCUUCCCUCAUGAUCCACCUAGGGUUUCUUUUUACUAGUCAGGUUCCACAGGAAAAUGUGAGAACUUAUACUUAGGGAAGAAAGACAUUACUCAGGUCCCUGCAAGGCUGGAAAAUGGGAAUGAUUCUCCACUUUCCCCUCCAGAUUUAAGCACUACAAAGACUGUCAACAUCUCUUGGCAUUUUGUACAGUACAGAGAGAUAGACACCCUACAUUGUGUAAUGUUUAUAUUUAAUAUCAGUGCUGCUUUCCGUCUCCAUUGAGUUCCCACAUUCAGCUCACUCACAGCGCUCCAAAGGCCUAGGAUAAGUGACCUGUGUGAAGACAUGGGGAGGCGGUUCUGGAGCACCUUCAGGUACUCCUCAGGAACUGAUGUUUUUUCACUUGUUGUUUGCCUAAGGCCAAGUUCUCUUUACCCGAAGGCAUCAUUCAGCCCCCCUUGCUAGGUAAUAAAGCACAAUAUUUUGUAGCGCUGGUCACAGUUGGUUCACAUCCUGGCUGUGUGACCUCGAGCAUCCUAUCUGACUACACUGAGCUUUCUGUUUCCUCAUCUGUCAAUGGGAUAACACUGUCUACACAUGGUUUCUGUGCCGCUAGCCAGAGAUCAGGCAUAUGAUGCCUACCACAGAGUCUGGCACAUAGUGAAAGCGCAAACAUUUGUUGCUAUGGUUUCUUUUUUAGAAGGAUUGGGAAAUAAUACUGCUGGGGCUAUAAAACCAUAGAACGAGGGGAGAAACUUGUUUAUUUUUUUGUUUUUAUGGGCUUUCCAAUGAAGAGCGGAAAGCCUGCUAGACAAAUUCUAAAAGCUGUAACACUGAAACUUGGUUUUUAAGACAAGCAAAGACACCUUAAAUUUGUCUUUUCUCUAUACCAGGAUGAAACAAUCCUAUUAACCCAUGGAUUUAAUGUCUACAAAGCAGAAAGUAGAAUAACUUGGACUUAAAGGUACUUAUGUCAUGCUAUUUUACCAAUUGAUUGUUAACGAAACAUCUAAACAGUAUUAAGCACUUGCUAGGUGCUGGGGAUUACAAAAAUCAAUGGUUGCCACAUAGCUCCUAACCAUAAACAGCUGACAAACUCUAUCUGACAACAAGAGAAGCAUAGAAUUUAAGUUCUCCUCCUCCAACCUUCCUAAAAGUAGAGAAAGUGAUAAUGUUACAUGUUCUUUGGCUUUAUAAUGUAGAAAAUAUAUCUGACUCAGAAGGCAAAUUGGGAUUUGACUGCAACUCUGACACCCGAGUUCCCAAUCUGUGAGGCUUAGUUCUCGAGGCUGCAAAACGAAGGUAGCAUUGGACCCAAGAAGAAUAUGAGAACCUAAUGAACGUGCUCUAAUAUCCCCCAUGGAAAGGCACAAUGGUAUUUUUUUUAAAUAAUCAUGAUUAUAAUAACAGAGGUACUUUACAAUUGGCACAAAAGUUAAAGCUGGAACAAAGCAGGCAAGAUUAACAUGGCCACUCUGUAAGAAUAAUAUGCAAAUCUAUAAGGUAUUUUCUAUAGUGAUGAACAAUGAUUUGCUCCUUAAUCUACAUUUUCACUGCCCUUUAUCUAUACCUUGAUGAUAGUU
ensembl:lncRNA ZFHX3-AS1 ZFHX3 antisense RNA 1